rnacentral:tRNA from 1 species
GCCUGGGUGGCUCAGUCAGUUAAGCGUCUGACUUUGGCUCAGGUCAUGAUCUCACUGUUUGUGGGUUCCAGCCCCAUGUCGGGCU